UCUGAUAACUUGUUGGAGACUCAUCUUCUUGUUGGAUGUUUAUAGCUGAUAUAUCCCUAUUAUCACUGAUUUUAUCUAUGUUUUAGGUAUAAGAUUUUGAGUCUUUAUGUUAUUUCUCAAGUGUUUUUAGUGUUUUUUCAGGUAUUCUAUGCAAUGGGACAACAAUGGAGAUUAGGAGACAUUUUGGAGCAAAAGCUAAGGAAAAGGAAGCUAAGGACGAUUUUGGAUUCAGAAAU
rnacentral:sRNA from 1 species